AGAGUUUGAUCAUGGCUCAGGACGAACGCUGGCGGCGUGCUUAACACAUGCAAGUCGAACGAUGAAGUUCCUUCGGGGAUGGAUUAGUGGCGAACGGGUGAGGAACACGUGAAGAAUCUGCCCUCCACUUUGGGAUAACACCGGGAAACCGGUGCUAAUACCAAAUAUUGAAAUAUAAGUGGCAUCACUGAAUUUUGAAAGAAUUUCGGUGGAGGAUGACUUCGCGGCCUAUCAGCUUGUUGGUGAGGUAAUGGCUCACCAAGGCGACGACGGGUAUCCGGCCUGAGAGGGCGACCGGACACACUGGGACUGAGACACGGCCCAGACUCCUACGGGAGGCAGCAGUGGGGAAUAUUGGGCAAUGGACGAAAGUCUGACCCAGCGACGCCGCGUGAGGGAUGAAGGCCUUCGGGUUGUAAACCUCUUUCAGUAGGGAAGAAGCGAAAGUGACGGUACCUAAAGAAGAAGCACCGGCUAACUAUGUGCCAGCAGCCGCGGUAAUACAUAGGGUGCAAGCGUUGUCCGGAAUUAUUGGGCGUAAAGAGCUCGUAGGUGGUUUGUUGCGUCGGGUGUGAAAUUCAGGGGCUCAACCCCUGACCUGCACUCGAUACGGGCAAACUAGAGUUUGGUAGGGGAGACUGGAAUUCCUGGUGUAGCGGUGGAAUGCGCAGAUAUCAGGAGGAACACCAAUGGCGAAGGCAGGUCUCUGGGCCAAUACUGACACUGAGGAGCGAAAGCGCGGGGAGCGAACAGGAUUAGAUACCCUGGUAGUCCGCGCCGUAAACGAUGGGCGCUAGUUGUGGGGACCUUCCACGGUUUCUGCGACGCAGCUAACGCAUUAAGCGCCCCGCCUGGGGAGUACGAUCGCAAGAUUAAAACUCAAAGGGAAUUGACGGGGACCCGCACAAGCAGCGGAGCAUGCGGC
rnacentral:rRNA from 1 species